CCCCGCUUAGCUCAGCCUGGUAGAGCGGUCGGCUGUAGACCGACGUGUCCCCGGUUCAAAUCCGGGAGCGGGGA
rnacentral:tRNA from 1 species